ACUCCUGCGGGAGGCAGCAGUGGGGAAUUUUGGACAAUAGGCGAAAGCCUGAUCCAGCAAUGCCGCGUGAGUGAAGAAGGCCUUCGGGUUGUAAAGCUCUUUUGUCAGGGAAGAAACGGUGAGAGCUAAUAUCUCUUGCUAAUGACGGUACCUGAAGAAUAAGCACCGGCUAACUACGUGCCAGCAGCCGCGGUAAUACGUAGGGUGCAAGCGUUAAUCGGAAUUACUGGGCGUAAAGCGUGCGCAGGCGGUUUUGUAAGUCUGAUGUGAAAUCCCCGGGCUCAACCUGGGAAUUGCAUUGGAGACUGCAAGGCUAGAAUCUGGCAGAGGGGGGUAGAAUUCCACGUGUAGCAGUGAAAUGCGUAGAUAUGUGGAGGAACACCGAUGGCGAAGGCAGCCCCCUGGGUCAAGAUUGACGCUCAUGCACGAAAGCGUGGGGAGCAAACAGGAUUAGAAACCCUAGUAGUCCCAUGA
rnacentral:rRNA from 1 species